rnacentral:tRNA from 1 species
GCUCCGUUAGCUCAGCUGGAUAGAGCGUUGGACUACGAAUCCAAAGGCCGGAGGUUCGAAUCCUCCACGGAGCG